rnacentral:rRNA from 1 species
UUCUUGAGUGUGUACUUGUUAAGCCUUUUAAGAAAAAAGUUAUUAACUUAAGGAAUUAUAACAAAGAAGUAACACGUAAUGGAUCCGUCCAUUUUUAGUGUGUAUCAAUCGAGUUUCUGACCUAUCAGCUUUUGAUGUUAGGGUAUUGGCCUAACAUGGCUAUGACGGGUAACGGGGAAUUAGAGUUCGAUUCCGGAGAGGGAGCCUGAGAAAUAGCUACCACAUCUAAGGAAGGCAGCAGGCGCGUAAAUUACCCAAUUCUAAAGAAGAGAGGUAGUGACAAGAAAUAACAAUACAAGGCCAAUCUGGCUUUGUAAUUGGAAUGAUGGGAAUUUAAAACCUUCCCAAAACUCAAUUGGAGGGCAAGUCUGGUGCCAGCAGCCGCGGUAAUUCCAGCUCCAAUAGCGUAUAUUAAAAUUGUUGCAGUUAAAACGCUCGUAGUUGAAUUUCAAAGAAUCGAUAUUUUAAGUAACGCUUUUAGCUUAAUCCACAUAACUGAUACUACGUAUCGACUUUGUGCGCAUUUUGCUAUUAUGUGUUCUUUUAAUUAAAAUGAUUCUUUUUAAGGUCUUUCUUUUGCUUCGGCAUUUGAAGAUCUUGUUACUUUGAGUAAAUUAGAGUGUUCAAAGCAAACAGAUAUAGCAUUGCGCGUUUGAAUACUACAGCAUGGAAUAACAAAAUUGAACAAGUCAGAAUUUUGUUCUUUUUUCUUAUUUUGGCUUAGUUACGAUUAAUAGGAGUAGCUUGGGGGCAUUUGUAUUCAGAUGUCAGAGGUGAAAUUCUUAGAUUUUCUGGAGACAAACAACUGCGAAAGCAUUUGCCUAAAAUACUUCCAUUAAUCAAGAACGAAAGUUAAGGGAGUGAAGACGAUCAGAUACCGUCGUAAUCUUAACCAUAAACUAUGCCGACUAGGC